rnacentral:rRNA from 1 species
GACGAACGCUGGCGGCGUGCUUAACACAUGCAAGUCGAACGGAAAGGCCCUGCUUUUGUGGGGUGCUCGAGUGGCGAACGGGUGAGUAACACGUGAGUAACCUGCCCUUGACUUUGGGAUAACUUCAGGAAACUGGGGCUAAUACCGGAUAGGAGCUCCUGCUGCAUGGUGGGGGUUGGAAAGUUUCGGCGGUUGGGGAUGGACUCGCGGCUUAUCAGCUUGUUGGUGGGGUAGUGGCUUACCAAGGCUUUGACGGGUAGCCGGCCUGAGAGGGUGACCGGCCACAUUGGGACUGAGAUACGGCCCAGACUACUACGGGAGGCAGCAGUGGGGAAUAUUGCACAAUGGGCGGAAGCCUGAUGCAGCAACGCCGCGUGCGGGGUGACGGCCUUCGGGUUGUAAACCGCUUUCGCCUGUGACGAAGCGUGAGUGACGGUAAUGGGUAAAGAAGCACCGGCUAACUACGUG